AAGUCGUAACAAGGUUUCCGUAGGUGAACCUGCGGAAGGAUCAUUAAAGAAUUAAGGCUUCGCGGCCAAGUUCUCACCCUUUGUAUACCGAAACCCAAUGUUGCCUUUGGGCAAGGCCCCCUAUUUUCCGGGGCCUGCCAGAGGUUAUAAACCCUAGAAUCUCUGCUGUCUGAGUACUAUAACAAUAGUUAAAA
rnacentral:misc_RNA from 1 species